rnacentral:rRNA from 1 species
UACGUAGGGUGCGAGCGUUGUCCGGAAUUAUUGGGCGUAAAGAGCUUGUAGGCGGUUUGUCGCGUCUGCCGUGAAAUUUCGAGGCUCAACCUCGAACUUGCGGUGGGUACGGGCAGACUAGAGUGUGGUAGGGGGAGACUGGAAUUCCUGGUGUAGCGGUGGAAUGCGCAGAUAUCAGGAGGAACACCGAUGGCGAAAGG